GUCCUGCCCGGGUCUUGAGCUCCCGGCCGGGGAGGCUAGUCCCGGGCCCCUCUCCCGCAGCCACGCCGCCAGCGCUCUAGGCGGCAAGGCUGCGCGCUCCUGGCUCCGGCCGGGCGGCCAGACAUGCUGCUCUGAGCGGCAAGCUUCUGCAGAUGUGCUCUUGAUGGCCUCCUCCCGCACACCAGCUGAGCAGCUCUGGCAGAUAAGGAGACGAAACAGGAGGAGUAAGGAAGACAUGUUCUGGGAGGUGAUGCAAUCCUCUGAUGCUUCCAAUUGCGAGCAGAGAGUACGGAGAGAGGCUAUCAAUGAGAAAUGGUGUAUGAAUAGCCAGGAGUGGAAACAGAGGCAGGAGUGGAAACAGAGGCAGGAGUGGAUGAUACAGCUGCUACAGGACCAAACAGACAUGCUGAGGUCCCUGAUUGAACUGCAGACGGAACACAUCCAUGCUUGCCUCUCCCUGCAGCCCAUACAGAACUGCUUUUCAUGCCCUCCUCACUUCCCACCCUCCACAUUCCUUGCAUGUUCUCAAGCUGUCUCAGUACCCCAUGCAACUCACCCCAAGGGACAUGUAUCACAAUGACAACUGGACAUAUAUCCCCCUGGUGAGAGCCUCAUUUGAAAAUGUGCUCUUAAUUUUCAUACCCCUUGCAGAACAUAGUAAUGUGUCUAUCACUAUUGAAUAGAAGUGUCCAUAUAGAAAGAUAAGGAAUCUUUAUUUCUCCCCUACAAAUGCUGAUUGCUACUGAAAUUCAUACACGGGGCAAUCAGUGCAUUUGCAGUGUAAAAUUAACGCGCACACAGCAAUCAUUAGAAGGUUCAUACUACGGGGCAAGAAAACAAUGCCUGGCUAAAUGCAUUACAGACACAUUACGGGGGGUUACUGUCAAAAUGCUCCUUCAAAGCCUCCCUGAUUCAAAUAUCCUCCCCCCUCCCCACUCCAUUGGCCCCUCUAUCAGCCUUGGUAUGUGGCUGCUCAAAAUCAGCAGUCAGCCAAUCCACGUCAACACACUACCCCUGAGGAAAUUUCUCUGUUAGCUUCACAAAUGUUAUGCAGAGCACACCAUGCUGCUAUGACCAUAGGAAUAUUUUCCUCAUUGAUGUCUCACUUGCCAAAAAGGCAGCACCAGUGACCCUUUAAUUGGCCAAAGACACAUUCAACAGUCAUUCUGCACCUUCUGAGCCUGUUGUUGAAGCGCUCCUUGCUGCAGUCAGGGUUCCCAGUGUAAGGCUUCAUGAGCCACAGGAGCAAGGGGUAGGCUGGGCCUCCAAGGAUCUCUAUUGGCAUUUGGUCUGGAAAGAAAGUCCCAGCUUGCAGCUUUCUGUACAGGCCAGUGUUCCUGAAGAUGCAUGUGUCAUCCACCUUCCCUGGCCACCCUGCCUUGCUGUCAGUGAAACAAUCCCAGCGACCCACCAGAGCUUGCAAUACCCUAGAAAAGUAGCCUUUUCUGUUGAUGUACUCCUUCGCAAGGUGAUGUGGGGCCAAAAUGGGGAUCUGCAUGCCAUCUGUUGCCUCACUGUAGCUUGGGAAUCUGUGACACUUUGAGGCACAGUGUAGCACCCUGUAACCCCCAUAUUCAUCAUUUGUAUAUGGUUAUGAUAUUUCAUAAAGCAUGCCAUGUAAGAUACUAUAUGAAAGGUCAUGAUCUGCUGAAACCCAUCAUUUUAUCAAGAUAUGCAUAUCAUUAGUGUGUAUGAAGUUAUGACAUUUUGCUAUAUGGUUGUUACUGAAUUAUGUUGUGAGUUUGGGAGUGAUCCAGUGCUAGUUCUCCAGUUACAACAACGGAGGUAACCCGCACCCAGGCAGAGUGGGUUAUGACCAUUGACCAGAGAAAAUUGUAAACAAGAGAUCUACAAUUCAAUAAGAUAGUUGCACCAGCCCCACACAAUGAAAAUUGCUCAACUCUGACUCAGUUAUGUAAGCACCACACAAUAGGGAUUGCUCAACCUGUGACUCUGCAAGGACAUGCCCACACCAGGACCUUUCCAGGGACAUGGACUGAAAGAACACUGGGAAGACAAAGACUUGAACUGAGGAGACUGGUCCCAGGCUGAGGAGGAAAUUCAGCCUGUGUAUUAAGAACUAUAAUCUACCUGCAACAUCCGGCAGGGUGAGAAAAGCUAUUUGAUUCAACUCGUGCUUAGUCUAAAAGUUUAGGAUUUAGAAUGCCUAGUUACUUUGAGAAAAUAAAAAGUAAACCUCUCUGA